rnacentral:tRNA from 1 species
GGAGGGUAUAGCUCAGUGGUAGAGCUCAUGCUUAGCAUGCAUGAAGUCCUGGGUUCAAUCCCCAGUACCUCCA